rnacentral:rRNA from 1 species
UUUGUAUAAUGGGUCAGCGACUUAUAUUCUGUAGCAAGGUUAACCGAAUAGGGGAGCCGAAGGGAAACCGAGUCUUAACUGGGCGUUAAGUUGCAGGGUAUAGACCCGAAACCCGGUGAUCUAGCCAUGGGCAGGUUGAAGGUUGGGUAACACUAACUGGAGGACCGAACCGACUAAUGUUGAAAAAUUAGCGGAUGACUUGUGGCUGGGGGUGAAAGGCCAAUCAAACCGGGAGAUAGCUGGUUCUCCCCGAAAGCUAUUUAGGUAGCGCCUCGUGAAUUCAUCUCCGGGGGUAGAGCACUGUUUCGGCAAGGGGGUCAUCCCGACUUACCAACCCGAUGCAAACUGCGAAUACCGGAGAAUGUUAUUACGGGAGACACACGGCGGGUGCUAACGUCCGUCGUGAAGAGGGAAACAACCCAGACCGCCAGCUAAGGUCCCAAAGUCAUGGUUAAGUGGGAAACGAUGUGGGAAGGCCCAGACAGCCAGGAUGUUGGCUUAGAAGCAGCCAUCAUUUAAAGAAAGCGUAAUAGCUCACUGGUCGAGUCGGCCUGCGCGGAAGAUGUAACGGGGCUAAACCAUGCACCGAAGCUGCGGCAGCGACGCUUAUGCGUUGUUGGGUAGGGGAGCGUUCUGUAAGCCUGUGAAGGUGUGCUGUGAGGUAUGCUGGAGGUAUCAGAAGUGCGAAUGCUGACAUAAGUAACGAUAAAGCGGGUGAAAAGCCCGCUCGCCGGAAGACCAAGGGUUCCUGUCCAACGUUAAUCGGGGCAGGGUGAGUCGACCCCUAAGGCGAGGCCGAAAGGCGUAGUCGAUGGGAAACAGGUUAAUAUUCCUGUACUUGGUGUUACUGCGAAGGGGGGACGGAGAAGGCUAUGUUGGCCGGGCGACGGUUGUCCCGGUUUAAGCGUGUAGGCUGGUUUUCCAGGCAAAUCCGGAAAAUCAAGGCCGAGGCGUGAUGACGAGGCACUACGGUGCUGAAGCAACAAAUGCCCUGCUUCCAGGAAAAGCCUCUAAGCAUCAGGUAACAUCAAAUCGUACCCCAAACCGACACAGGUGGUCAGGUAGAGAAUACCAAGGCGCUUGAGAGAACUCGGGUGAAGGAACUAGGCAAAAUGGUGCCGUAACUUCGGGAGAAGGCACGCUGAUACGUAGGUGAAGCGACUUGCUCGUGGAGCUGAAAUCAGUCGAAGAUACCAGCUGGCUGCAACUGUUUAUUAAAAACACAGCACUGUGCAAACACGAAAGUGGACGUAUACGGUGUGACGCCUGCCCGGUGCCGGAAGGUUAAUUGAUGGGGUUAGCGCAAGCGAAGCUCUUGAUCGAAGCCCCGGUAAACGGCGGCCGUAACUAUAACGGUCCUAAGGUAGCGAAAUUCCUUGUCGGGUAAGUUCCGACCUG